rnacentral:rRNA from 1 species
ACGGGAGGCAGCAGUGGGGAAUAUUGCACAAUGGGCGCAAGCCUGAUGCAGCCAUGCCGCGUGUGUGAAGAAGGCCUUCGGGUUGUAAAGCACUUUCAGUCGUGAGGAAGGUAGUGUAGUUAAUAGCUGCAUUAUUUGACGUUAGCGACAGAAGAAGCACCGGCUAACUCCGUGCCAGCAGCCGCGGUAAUACGGAGGGUGCGAGCGUUAAUCGGAAUUACUGGGCGUAAAGCGCAUGCAGGUGGUUUGUUAAGUCAGAUGUGAAAGCCCGGGGCUCAACCUCGGAAUAGCAUUUGAAACUGGCAGACUAGAGUACUGUAGAGGGGGGUAGAAUUUCAGGUGUAGCGGUGAAAUGCGUAGAGAUCUGAAGGAAUACCGGUGGCGAAGGCGGCCCCCUGGACAGAUACUGACACUCAGAUGCGAAAGCGUGGGGAGCAAACAGGAUUAGAUACCCUGGUAGUCCACGCCGUAAACGAUGUCUACUUGGAGGUUGUGGCCUUGAGCCGUGGCUUUCGGAGCUAACGCGUUAAGUAGACCGCCUGGGGAGUACGGUCGCAAGAUUAAAACUCAAAUGAAUUGACGGGGGCCCGCACAAGCGGUGGAGCAUGUGGUUUAAUUCGAUGCAACGCGAAGAACCUUACCUACUCUUGACAUCCAGAGAACUUUCCAGAGAUGGAUUGGUGCCUUCGGGAACUCUGAGACAGGUGCUGCAUGGCUGUCGUCAGCUCGUGUUGUGAAAUGUUGGGUUAAGUCCCGCAACGAGCGCAACCCUUAUCCUUGUUUGCCAGCGAGUAAUGUCGGGAACUCCAGGGAGACUGCCGGUGAUAAACCGGAGGAAGGUGGGGACGACGUCAAGUCAUCAUGGCCCUUACGAGUAGGGCUACACACGUGCUACAAUGGCGCAUACAGAGGGCGGCCAACUUGCGAGAGUGAGCGAAUCCCAAAAAGUGCGUCGUAGUCCGGAUUGGAGUCUGCAACUCGACUCCAUGAAGUCGGAAUCGCUAGUAAUCGUGGAUCAGAAUGCCACGGUGAAUACGUUCCCGGGCCUUGUACACACCGCCCGUCACACCAUGGGAGUGGGCUGCAAAAGAAGUAGGUAGUUAACCU